UUUAAAACUUAUAAAUAUGUAUUUCAUUUGUUGGAGCAAUAUUCAAAAAAAUGGAUCUAAUAUCAAGAGUUGACAUCCAAUAAAUAUAAAAAAUCUUUAUGUUUCAUUUUUAAUAUUUUUUUUAUCAACACUCUCAACUUUCAUUUUAACAUCAAUAAGCCUCUUAUAUUUCUUUCAGACAAAUCAUUUGUUAAAUUUAUUGUUUAAGAAGUUUUAUUUCAUCUCAAUGACAUCAAAAUAAUAAUCCAUAAACAUGCUUUUAGUAUCUUCCAAUCACAUUUCAAUAACAAGAAUGGCAAAAACUUUGAUUAUAAGGUCACAAUCAAGACAUUUUUCUACUUUUCAUUGUACAUCAAAUAUCUCUUGUA
rnacentral:lncRNA from 1 species